rnacentral:rRNA from 1 species
UACGUAGGGUGCGAGCGUUACUCGGAAUUACUGGGCGUAAAGUGUGCGCAGGCGGCCAUGCAAGUCGAGUGUGAAAGCCCCGGGCUUAACUUGGGAAUUGCGCUCGAAACUACGUGGCUGGAGUGUGGCAGAGGAAGGUGGAAUUCCACGUGUAGCGGUGAAAUGCGUAGAGAUGUGGAGGAACACCAAUGGCGAAGGCAGCCUUCUGGGCCAACACUGACGCUCAUGCACGAAAGCGUGGGGAGCAAACAGG